rnacentral:rRNA from 1 species
UUUCGCAAUGCCCGAAAGGGUGACGAAGCGACGCCGCGUGUGGGAAGAAGGCCUUCGGGUUGCAAACCACUGUCGGGAGUUAAGAAAUGCAAGAAUGUUAAUAGCGUUUUUGCUUGACUAAGGCUCCGGAGGAAGCCACGGCUAACUCUGUGCCAGCAGCCGCGGUAAUACAGAGGCGGCAAGCGUUGUUCGGAAUUAUUGGGCGUAAAGAGCACGUAGGCGGCUAUAUAAGUCGGUUGUGAAAGCCUUCCGCUCAACGGGAGAACAGCAUCCGAUACUGUGUGGCUUGAGUGUGGGAGGGGAGAGCGGAACUUCUGGUGGAGCGGUGAAAUGCGUAGAUAUCAGAAGGAACGCCGGCGGCGAAAGCGGCUCUCUGGCCCAUAACUGACGCUGAGUGUGCGAAAGCUAGGGGAGCAAACGGGAUUAGAUACCCCGGUAGUCCUAGCCGUAAACGAUGGGCACUAAGUAGAGGGGUUUU